rnacentral:rRNA from 1 species
AGUGAACGCUGGCGGUAGGCCUAACACAUGCAAGUCGAACGGCAGCACAGUAAGAGCUUGCUCUUACGGGUGGCGAGUGGCGGACGGGUGAGGAAUACAUCGGAAUCUACUUUUUCGUGGGGGAUAACGUAGGGAAACUUACGCUAAUACCGCAUACGACCUACGGGUGAAAGCAGGGGAUCUUCGGACCUUGCGCGAUUGAAUGAGCCGAUGUCGGAUUAGCUAGUUGGCGGGGUAAAGGCCCACCAAGGCGGCGAUCCGUAGCUGGUCUGAGAGGAUGAUCGGCCACACUGGAACUGGGACACGGUCCAGACUCCUACGGGAGGCAGCAGUGGGGAAUAUUGGACAAUGGGCGCAAGCCUGGUCCAGCCAUACCGCGUGGGUGAAGAAGGCCUUCGGGUUGUAAAGCCCUUUUGUUGGGAAAGAAAAGCAGCAGGUUAAUACCCCGCUGUUCUGACGGUACCCAAAGAAUAAGCACCGGCUAACUUCGUG